AUGCUCGCAGAUCGAUAUUUUCUAAUGCCCCGCGCUAAACUUUUUCUUGGUUUGUUGUUGCCAAGGGACGGGAGUGGUACCGGCAAUGGAGACGACAGCGGCUGGUCGAUGCGGCCGAUGGAUGCGGAGCAGCUUCGGGAGUGCGGGCACCGGAUGGUGGAUUUCAUCGCCGACUACUACAAAUCCAUCGAGACAUUUUCCGUCCUCAGUCAAGUCCAGCCAGGAUAUCUAAAUGAACUUCUUCCAGAUUCAGCUCCAAACCGACCUGACACUUUGGAUGCCCUUUUUGAUGAUAUACGAGAGAAGAUAGUACCGGGAGUAACUCACUGGCAAAGUCCAAAUUAUUUUGCUUACUAUCCCUCAAAUAGUAGCACUGCUGGAUUCCUGGGGGAGAUGCUUAUUGCUGCCUUUAACAUUGUUGGCUUCAGUUGGAUAACCUCUCCUGCUGCAACCGAGUUAGAGGUUAUAGUCUUAGACUGGUUUGCAAAAAUGCUUAAGCUUCCAAGCAAGUUUCUAUCAUCUGCGGUUGGUGGAGGAGUAAUCCAGGGUAGUGCCAGUGAAGCUGUCCUUGUUGUACUAUUGGCUGCACGAGAUAGAACCUUAGAAAUGCAUGGGAAAAAGUCCCUUGAAAAAUUGGUAGUUUAUGCAUCUGAUCAGACACAUUCUGCUCUGCAAAAGGCAUGCCAGAUUGCAGGGAUUUUCCCAGAGAACUUCAGAGUUGUGAAGGCUGACUACAGUAAUAGUUACGCUGUUGCACCUGAAGCAGUAGGCACAACAUCUUCAUCGGCCGUGGACCCCUUGCAUAAAUUAGGAAAGAUAGCACAGGCCCAUGACAUGUGGUUCCACAUUGAUGCUGCAUAUGCUGGAAGUGCUUCUGAUUCAUUCAAUAUGAAUGCACACAAAUGGUUUCUCACAAACUUCGACUGUUCCUUGUUAUGGGUUAAGGACAAGAGCUAUCUCAUAGAAGCAUUAUCUACAAAUCCAGAGUAUCUUAAGAAUAAGGCUUCCCAAGAAAAUUCCGUUGUUGAUUUCAAGGAUUGGCAAAUUCCACUUGGCCGUCGUUUUAGAUCACUCAAGCUAUGGAUGGUAUUGAGGCUUUAUGGCGUGGAAAACCUGCAGAGCUAUAUCAGAAAGCACAUACAGUUGGCUAAACAGUUUGAACAACUUGUAUUAUCUGAUUCAAGAUUUGAGGUAGUAACUCCAAGGAACUUUUCCCUUGUGUGUUUCCGCCUUCUGCCCCCAACUUCGGAGGAUGACAAUGGCCGUAACCUUAACUACAGCCUAAUGGAUGCCUGUAACUCGAGUGGAAAGAUCUUUAUAUCACAUACGGUUCUUUCCGGAAAAUUUGUCUUGAGAUUUGCCGUUGGAGCACCACUGACCGAGGAGAAACAUGUGGAUGCUGCUUGGAAGCUUUUGCAAGAUGAGGCCAGCAAGAUCUUAGGAAGUUCGUAG
rnacentral:rRNA from 1 species